rnacentral:rRNA from 1 species
CCCCUACGGGGCGCAGCAGCGGGGAAUAUUGCACAAUGGGGGAAACCCUGAUGCAGCGACGCCGCGUGAGUGAAGAAGUGCCUCGGCACGUAAAGCUCUAUCAGCAGGGAAGAAAAUGACGGUACCUGACCAAGAAGCCCCGGCUAACUACGUGCCAGCAGCCGCGGUAAUACGUAGGGGGCAAGCGUUAUCCGGAUUUACUGGAUGUAAAGGGAGCGUAGACGGCGGCGCAAGUCUGGAGUGAAAUCCCGGGGCUCAACCCCGGAACUGCUUUGGAAACUGCGCGGCUCGAGUGCAGGAGGGGG